GUAGGGUGGGCAAGCGUUGUCCGGAAUUAUUGGGCGUAAAGCGCGCGCAGGCGGUCCUUUAAGUCUGAUGUGAAAGCCCACGGCUCAACCGUGGAGGGUCAUUGGAAACUGGGGGACUUGAGUACAGAAGAGGAAAGCGGAAUUCCAAGUGUAGCGGUGAAAUGCGUAGAGAUUUGGAGGAACACCAGUGGCGAAGGCGGCUUUCUGGUCUGUAACUGACGCUGAGGCGCGAAAGCGUGGGGAGCAAACAGGAUUAGAUACCCUGGUAGUCCACGCCGUAAACGAUGAGUGCUAAGUGUUAGGGGGUUUCCGCCCCUUAGUGCUGCAGCUAACGCAUUAAGCACUCCGCCCGGGGAGUACGGCCGCAAGGCUG
rnacentral:rRNA from 1 species